rnacentral:rRNA from 1 species
AACGAACGCUGGCGGCAUGCCUAACACAUGCAAGUCGAACGAGACCUUCGGGUCUAGUGGCGCACGGGUGCGUAACGCGUGGGAACCUGCCCUUAGGUUCGGAAUAACUCCCCGAAAGGGGUGCUAAUACCGGAUAAUGUCUUCGGACCAAAGAUUUAUCGCCUUUGGAUGGGCCCGCGUUGGAUUAGCUAGUUGGUAGGGUAAAAGCCUACCAAGGCGACGAUCCAUAGCUGGUCUGAGAGGAUGAUCAGCCACACUGGGACUGAGACACGGCCCAGACUCGGAAGGGAGGCAGCAGUAGGGAAACUUGCGCAAGGGGCGAGAGCAGGACGGAGCAAAGCCGCGUGAGUUAUGAAGGUCUUCGGAGCGUAAAACUAUGUUAUUAGGGAAGAACAAAUGGGUAAGUAACUAUGCACGCCAGGACGGUACCUAAUAAGAAAGCAACGGCUAACUACGUG